AUGUCUGUAUGUAUUUAUUUAUGCAUGUAUUUUAUGGCUAAAAUCCACAUGCUGUCUGACCUGUAUGGAGAGAAUAUGCCAGAGCAAACAAGUCAGCGUUAACUCCUUAUUAACAGGGUAAAGGAAAGAGACCUUUACUUUGGUGCUGAUGCUGUCGAUACCCAAGAUAAAUAUUACCAUGGAUGGCAUAUUUGAAACCGUGUUCUCACUGAUAAAGUCUCCUGAUAAGAUGUCACUGAGUCAACUGCACCUGAAAGUCGACUUUAAUUCUGGAAAACUGUAUUAAGUCCAUAGAGGGAGAUGAAGGUCAACCAGGAAUGGAAGGAGAGCUUUCGACUAUUUUGGAGCUCAGCUCUACAUGGUUCCUGCUCUUGUUACCCUCAUUUUAUAUAUGAAGAAACUGAGGAUCAGAGGAUAAUUUGCCCAUGGUUCCAUAGCCUUUAAGUUCCAGGGGGAGUAUGAAAAGUCAAGUCUCUUUCCUAACUUCAAAACUUCUCUUCUGUGCUAUUGUCAUUUGCUUCUUCCGUGACCUUGGGUAAACCGCUUUGGGCCCCAUUUUUCUCAUCCACAAAAUGAGGUACUUUGAUUCAAUGACCUCUUGAGGUUCCU
rnacentral:lncRNA from 1 species